rnacentral:rRNA from 1 species
GUUGCAGGGUAUAGACCCGAAACCCGGUGAUCUAGCCAUGGGCAGGUUGAAGGUUGGGUAACACUAACUGGAGGACCGAACCGACUAAUGUUGAAAAAUUAGCGGAUGACUUGUGGCUGGGGGUGAAAGGCCAAUCAAACCGGGAGAUAGCUGGUUCUCCCCGAAAGCUAUUUAGGUAGCGCCUCGUGAAUUCAUCUCCGGGGGUAGAGCACUGUUUCGGCAAGGGGGUCAUCCCGACUUACCAACCCGAUGCAAACUGCGAAUACCGGAGAAUGUUAUCACGGGAGACACACGGCGGGUGCUAACGUCCGUCGUGAAGAGGGAAACAACCCAGACCGCCAGCUAAGGUCCCAAAGUCAUGGUUAAGUGGGAAACGAUGUGGGAAGGCCCAGACAGCCAGGAUGUUGGCUUAGAAGCAGCCAUCAUUUAAAGAAAGCGUAAUAGCUCACUGGUCGAGUCGGCCUGCGCGGAAGAUGUAACGGGGCUAAACCAUGCACCGAAGCUGCGGCAGCGACACUAUGUGUUGUUGGGUAGGGGAGCG